UACGAAGGGGGCUAGCGUUGUUCGGAGUUACUGGGCGUAAAGGGUGCGUAGGCGGCCUUAUAAGUAUGGUGUGAAAUCUCCCGGCUUAACUGGGAGGGUGCGCUAUAGACUGUGGGGCUAGAGUGUGGGAGAGGAAAGUGGAAUUCCUGGUGUAGCGGUGAAAUGCGUAGAUAUCAGGAGGAACACCGGUGGUGUAAACGGCUUUCUGGACCAUAACUGACGCUGAGGCACGAAAGCGUGGGUAGCAAACAGG
rnacentral:rRNA from 1 species